rnacentral:rRNA from 1 species
UACGAAGGGGGCUAGCGUUGUUCGGAAUUACUGGGCGUAAAGCGCGCGCAGGUGGUCUUUCAAGUCAGUGGUGAAAGCCCGGAGCUCAACUCCGGAAAUGCCAUUGAAACUGUGAGACUUGAGGAUGAGAGAGGUGAGUGGAAUUCCCAGUGUAGAGGUGAAAUUCGUAGAUAUUCGGAAGAACACCAGUGGCGAAGGCGGCUCACUGGCUCGGUACUGACGCUGAGGUGCGAAAGCGUGGGGAGCAAACAGG